CCCCUCCACCGCCGGUCUACAAAUAUAAGUCGCCACCACCUCCUGUGUACCACGCCCCGGCUCCUGUUUACAAGUACAAGUCACCUCCUCCCCCCGUCUACCACUACAGCUCGCCACCACCGCCGGUUUACAAGUACAAGUCACCACCACCACCUGUGUACCACGCCCCGGCACCAGUUUACAAGUACAACUCGCCACCACCCCCAGUUUACAAGUACAGCUCGCCACCACCACCUGUUUACAAAUACAAGUCGCCACCACCACCUGUGUACCACACCCCGGCUCCUGUUUACAAGUACGAGUCGCCUCCUCCGCCGGUGUACAAGUACAGCUCCCCGCCGCCACCGGUCUACAAAUAUAAGUCGCCACCACCACCUGUGUACCACGUCCCAGCGCCGGUUUACAAGUACGAAUCUCCUCCGCCACCGGUGUACAAGUACAGCUCUCCGCCACCACCAGUCUACAAGUAUAAGUCGCCACCACCACCUGUGUACCACGCCCCUGCUCCAGUCUACAAGUACAAAUCUCCUCCGCCACCGGUGUACAAGUACAGCUCGCCACCACCACCGGUUUACAAAUACAAGUCGCCUCCUCCACCUGUUUACCACGCCCCGGCUCCAGUCUACAAGUACAAAUCCCCGCCACCACCGGUGUAUCACUACAGCUCCCCGCCACCACCUGUUUACAAGUAUAAGUCUCCACCGCCGCCUGUUUACCACGCUCCCGCCCCAGUCUACAAGUAUAAGUCACCGCCGCCACCUGUUUACCACUACAGCUCCCCACCACCCCCGGUUUACAAGUACAAAUCUCCUCCUCCCCCUGUCUACCACGCUCCAGCACCGGUUUACAAGUAUAAGUCUCCGCCGCCACCGGUCUAUCACUACAGCUCCCCGCCACCACCGGUGUACAAGUACAAGUCGCCACCACCGCCUGUGUACCACGCUCCAGCACCGGUUUACAAGUAUAAGUCGC
rnacentral:lncRNA from 1 species